rnacentral:rRNA from 1 species
GACGAACGCUGGCGGCGUGCCUAAUACAUGCAAGUCGAACGCUGAAGGAGGAGCUUGCUCUUCUGGAUGAGUUGCGAACGGGUGAGUAACGCGUAGGUAACCUGCCUGGUAGCGGGGGAUAACUAUUGGAAACGAUAGCUAAUACCGCAUAACAGUAGAUGUUGCAUGACAUUUACUUAAAAGGUGCAAUUGCAUCACUACCAGAUGGACCUUCGUUGUAUUAGCUAGGUGGUGGGGUAACGGCUCACCUAGGCGACGAUACAUAGCCGACCGGAGAGGGGGGUCGGCCGCACUGGGACUGAGACCCGGCACAUACGCCUACGGGAGGGAGCAGGAGGGAAACUUCGGACAGCGGCGGAAGUCUGAGCGAGAAACGCCGAGGGAGUGAAGAAGGAUUUCGGGUCGUAAAGCUCGGUUGUAAGAGAAGAAAGAGUGUGAGAGUGGAAAGUUCACACUGUGACGGUAUCUUACCAGAAAGAGACGGCUAACUACGUG